UAGAAUAAACUUAAGCUUUGAAAGGCCAGC
rnacentral:sRNA from 1 species